rnacentral:lncRNA from 1 species
GUUUGUUUCGUUUUAUUUUCUUGGUCAUGCCCAUGGCAUGCAGGAGUUCCCAGGCCAGGGAUCAAACCCAAGCCACAGCAGUGACCUGAACCACAGCAGUGACAACAGCAGAUCCUUAACCUGCUGCACCACCAGAAAACUCUAUUACUUUGUUUUAUCUGUACACUCCUAAGUCACUAAGAACUACAAACACCAGAGUGGAAGGAAUAUUCGUUCUAAAGGAAACUAGAUAAUCAAUAAGGUCCUACUGUAUAGCACAGGGAACUCUAAUCAAUAUUCUGUAAUAACCUAUAUGGGAAAAGAAUCUGAAAGAGAAUGGGUAUGUGUACAUGUAUAACUGGAUCACUUAGCUGUACACCUGAAACUAACACAACACUGUAACUCAACUAUAAUAUAAAAUAAAAACCAAAACACAGUUAAAAAUAAAAAAUCAAUUAAAAAUAAAAUAAACAUUAGUCUUCUAAAAAUGAAUAAAAGAGACUAAAUGACUAUUUAAUCAUUAAUUCAUCAAACAUGCUUAUUGAGUAUCCAGUGCAAUGUGGUUAUAACAUGGUACCAGUGAAGUCAAAUGAAUUAUAUUUAAGAAUCAAAGGGCAAAAGUUAAGCUCGAAUCUCACCUAAUUCAACCCUAAAAGUUAAAGAGCAAGCAGAAAAGAGAGGCAGAUUUAGCUGACUUCUAUCUUUUUGUCUUUUUAGGGCCACACCUGCAGCAUGUGGAGGUUCCCAGGCUAGGGGUCGAAUCAGAGCUGCAGCUGCCAGCUCAGAAUUCUCUUCUUAGAAGAAUUCACUUCCUAGACAAAGUAGCAUUCGAUGAUGCUCAGACAGCCUAAGUGGCAGGGGACUGAUGGCAUCUCUCACAGAAAUGGAUGCUGGAGGAGCGGCAGAAGGGUCUGUGUGUCUGGGGAGAAGGGUGGGCAGUGAGAGGUGGUGGACUGGAGAGAGAAGGUGCUGAGGAGCUGAGUUUAAGUUUGGACACGCUGAGCUGGAACAACCACGUGGAGGUGGGGUCGAAGCUCAAGCCUUAGAAGAAAGGUCUGGGUAGAAAACAAAAGUUUGGGCUAUAGAUCUCGGCAGAAAAAGAAAUGAUCAUAAUAAGCAUUGCUUAUUAAUGAGA